AUAUAUAAUGGCUUUAAUCAUAGACCAGCCGGCGACCUGCAUUUAAUGAAACUAGAUAGUCUUAAAUUCUUGAAGUUUUGGAGGUACUGACCAUUGUCCCUUUAACUUGAGUGGUAGCAAGAAUAAGCUCACUAUUGUCCAUAGGCUUGGAAAGACCAAAGUCAGCAACUUUAGCAUUUAAGGAUUCAUCCAGUAAUAUGUUAGCUGAUUUUACGUCCCUGUGGAUAAUACGAGGGUUGACAAGCUCGUGCAAGUAGGCAAGACCUCUUGCUGCACCAAGAGCCACUUUAAGUCUCCUCCUCCAAUCCAGCCAGAUCCCGCUCAAACCUGCUUACAUGACAAGAGGAUAUAUAAUUGUGUAGACUUCCUACAACUAUAGAAUGCGUGUGCUUAUUUUCGGAAGAAAGGCACCAAAGGGUUGUCAUGGAAAACUCAAUGCUUGUAAGAUUGAAAGGUUCCAUGUACAAUACCUGAUAGGCUGUCCCUGAGACUACCAUUGCGAACAAACUCAUAAAUUAGCAUCUGUUCACCUCUCUCAAAGCAAAACCCAACAAGGUUUACAACAUUUUUAUGAUGAACUCUCGAUAAAACUUCUAUCUCUGAGUUGAAUUCAAGCCCACCUUGCACCGAUCCUUGUCGACAUCGUUUGAUGGCAAUCAGUUGUCCAGUAGGAAGCAUCCCUCUAUAAACCUGUACACAAAAAUGUUGAAAGACUCAAGUAUUGUGUCGCUGAAAAAACCACCAUGGCAGGACAGGAAAAGAGGGAGAGACUUGCCAUUCCGUAACCCCCUGAUCCAAUAUGAUUGGCUUCCGAGAAAUUAUUCGUACACUUCAUAAUCUCAUUGAAAGAGAAGCAUCUGGCUCCCUUCAACUGAGGAACGCUGUUACUGUUCCUUGAAUCCAAGUAUGCUGCAAUUUGGCAAAAUGAAGAAAAAGAAAUAAACACAAUUUUCAAUGAUGAAUGGGAAAAUAUCAGAUCUAAAAACUAGAACCUUAAAGUACCAAAAUGAUUCUUCUGUUCACUUGCUCUUUCUCUCCUCUUCUUCUGACGAUAAGCACAUACCCCUGCAAGAAGCAAUAGUAGCAGGAAAGAGGCUCCUCCAGCCGCAGCCCCAAUGAUCCUUCCAGUGCUUGAUAACUCUUUUGAGACCGUGGGUUUUCCUGCAUGACAAAGAGGGAGGGAGGGAGGAGGAUGUGUCAUCAGAAGAAAGAAAGAACAAUGCAAGCCAAUCUCUCACUUGUGCAUGAAAUGUGUAAGUACCAUCGAAGUAUGGAUAUGCAGAACCCUUAAAAUAUGUAGGUCCAAAGAUAUCUGAAUUCUCAUAAGUCUGAAGGGUUAGCACAAAUCCAAUUUCAGAAAUCGUAGCUGUGUUAAAAUGAUUUUGGCCCGACGGAAACAUAGAUAAAUUUGACUCAAGAUACCCAAACGAAUCCUUCGCUGGAAAAUUUACUUCAACUGAAUCCACAGGAAGUUGAUGGAACUUGAAGGAACGCAUCAGAGACUCUUCUUCCAGAUGUACAUAAUAAGUUAAGUUUCUUGACUCUAAAAAUGGAGGUUUGUAGACUAGUACUCCCCUGUAUGGAUACGAGCAUUUGCAAUUGGGACUGGAAAUCUGGUCUGAAAUGCAGUGGAGGGGAACACAUUUCUCUGGUAGCCUCGUAUACGAAGAAUUGGCUUGAGGAACUGUGCAGUAAUUUUCUGUUGCUUCUGGAUGCUCACAAACUGGGUUACCCACAAGUCUGCAAAAUAUAACACAUCAAACACUCUUAUGCAGGCAAGUUGUAUAGCACAUCUCCUCAGGAUUUAACUUUUCCCACUACUAUCGUUGUCACAUUUUAGCAGUCAAGUGGACAAAAUUAAGGAAAAAAGAAUUACAGAGACAUCUCAAAAGUUUGAAGAUAUUAUAAAAACUUUUGUACGAAAAAUGCCGUUAACGUUUGAUAUAUAUUGAAGGGAUGAUUAUCUGUAAUAUCCGAGAGGGACUAUUGUAAUUCAUCCAAAAAAAGGAGGAGGAGAAUGCCUCUUACAUUACAUCCACGUUAUUCCUUCGUUCUGGUGUUUCUGAAUAGAAUGAAGAAAUGAGAUUGUUUCGCAUAUCAAUGACUUUCAGUUGGCUGCUAGAGCUUGUUGCAAUAUCCAAUGUGCCACUGAGCUGGUUGUUCCUUAGAAUCCUGUAACCAUUUGUGAAUUUAGAUAUCCAUCAGUUUCCAUGAGAUGAAAGAAUCUAUCAAUAUCCAUGAAGUUGACUGCUGUGGUACUGAAGAAACAAGGGGAAGGAUGCUCACAAAGUCUGUAAACUAGGAAGAUAGAAGAGGGUAGGAGGAAUCCGACCUUCAAGUCCAGUGUUUUCCAUCAUUCUGUUAUUCACAGGAAGGAAAGAAGGCUUCACUAUGUUGACAGCGUGAAAAAUCAUAAAUUGUGAACUUUUAUACACAGGAAUGCAUAGUCAAUAAGAGGUUCCAUGGACAAAAAUGUCUCAGUCAAAAAAACAGUUACUGCUUCAUUAACACUUACAAUAUACAUGGAGACAAUUAUAAUCUAGCAUGUAAAGUCAUGAUGCCUGAGCAAAAUUUUAAGGGUAAAUUGCAAAGUGGGAUGGUGGAAAGGGUUUGUGAUUCUUGAAAGAAAACAGUCUAGUUAAGGCUUCAUUGAGUUGGUCGAGUGUGUGUGAUGACAGAGAGAAAAGGAGGGAGGAAGGGAGACAUACAGUGUUGUCAAAGCCCGUAAGUUUGAGAAUGACAACGGAAAAUCUGAAGCGUCAAAACUAUUAUUGCUCAGGUCCCUGGAGAAAAGAUUUUGGUCAUAGUUGGCAUUUGGAGAAACGUCGAAUUGUAUUUCAUACUGAGAUACCUAACAGACUGGAAAUCUUACAAGUAGCUGAGAUAAGCCAUGCCAGUGAGAUUAGGAACAGGCCCAGUAAAUUUAUUGUUGGACAACAUCCUGAAAUUUAUCAGCAAAAAGCACUCUUAACCGAGUGAAAAUCCGCACAAAAGACUUAACAAACAAGCCAAACCAUUGUGAUAUCUUUACUGGCAAUGUCGUUUUCUGUAUACUUACAACGUCGUCACAUUGGUAAGAUUGUUGAGGUUUGAAGGGACAGGUCCAGUUAACGAAUUCCCUUCAAAACGUCUGCAACAAAGAUAAGGCAUUCAAUACAAACAAGAUCAGUGUAGAUUAAUCACUUCAGUUUGCCAUGUAGAUGCUUACACAGCCUCCAAAGUGUGCACCAGUCCAAGGGUAGAAGGAAUGCUUCCCGUGAGAUUAUUGUCAUGCAAAAGCCUGCACAAAAGUAAUGUAUAUGAUGUAUAUAGAAUUGUAAACCUUUUAAAGAAGCAUAUUAAAUUAAAAGGAAUAUUGUUUUCUUUUAAAUUAAAUUAAAAUCCCACUUCCUAUUUUCUCCCCUAUUCCAUUGGUGAAGUAGUUUGACUUCAACAUCCAAAGCAUAUACAAACUUACACAUGAAUGAGAGUCAUGUCUGAUCUGAAAAGCUCUUUCGGGAUUGUGCCUGAGAACCGAUUCCUUCCUAGAUGACUGAAUAAUUUUCAGACCAGCAUAAACAGAUAUCAUUAAAGCCGAAGCAAGAGAGCACACUAAUCAGCACAAAGAGAUUUGACAUACAAGUGUUUUGCAUUAACUAGCAUAUCAAGACCAGAUGUAGUUCCACUGGAGACAAGGAUGGCUCCAUCAAGCAGAUUAUUGAAUAGAUCCAGCACAAUGAGUUUCGAAAGGUUUCCAAUUGAAUGUGGAAUUGAUCCAGUGAAUCUAUUAGAAUUCAGGUCUCUGCGGGAAAUAGCAAUAGAGAUUAGAGAGUUUCAGAAAACAGUAAAGGUUGCCAAUAGAGCACAUGUUUAGUCCUCAAGAAAACAGUAAAACACUUACAGAGACUCCAGCAGCUGAAGAGACCCUAUCAACUCAGGGAUAGGGCCAUAGAAACUACAACCAGCCAACUUUCUAGAAUGGAAAAAAAGAAAAUUCUGUCAGUUAAUUGGAGGAUUGGUUUCAGUUGACACUAACAUCAUAUUAUUCCCUUACAAGUUUUUUAGCUUCUUCAAAUUCACAAUUGAUGGUGGAAGGGUACCGUUCAACCCCGUGUUGUACGAUAGAUCCCUAUAACCAGACACUGUUAAUGAGCAAGGAAUCCUUGGAAUGGAAAACAAUCACUAUGUUCAUAUAUCAAGAAAAAGGAUGAAAGGAGCUCUGGGAAUGAGGCCUUUUCUCAAUAGGUGCCUCAUGCCUUGAGAUCCGGAUGCUAGAGCAGCCCAGUCUAGACAUCUGGAAAGCCAAAGAGUAUCGUAGCACUACAUCAUUUAUUAUGUGAAGUGAAACUCAAGACUUACAGAACCUCCAAUUCUGACAAGUAGGAGAUGUCUCCAGACAGCUCACCCGUCAAUCCCACAGCUGCCAACGUUCUGCAGUUGAAAAUAGUCAGCUAAUCUCGAAACUUGGAGAGGGAAGAAGGUGCGAGGCUUAAUUAACAUUUGAAGCUGAACAACUGCCUAUAACUUACAUCGAAGUCACACGUGAAUUGUAACAUGAAAUGCCUUCCCAUUUGCCUCCACAGGGAUCUCCACCCACCCAAUUACGUGGUGUGUUUUCCCAGGCAUCCUUGAGAAUACUCAUUACUGUAACUGCAUCAGGAAUGGGGCAGAACAAUAAAAAAAUUCCAUGAUUCAUUCACCAUCAGAGUUGUCUAGUUACAUGGAGUAUGGAGGAUCCAUUAAAGCUAGCAAAGAUCUCUACUAAAUCUAAUCUAGCCUCGAACUUUAAUGAGUGAUUUUUGGCCCAAGUGCAGGCAAUUCAGAAUAUUCAUUCUGCAGUUCAUCUAUAAAGUUAAGAAGACCCUUAAGCACUUGAUUCUGAUUAGCAUAAAAAGCUACAUCCUACAUGAGACAUGGCUCAAAAAAUCUUUGCAGUAAAUGGGGAAUGUUAAUUUAUUGAACUUACAAUCAUCACCAUAGGUCUCUGUAUAAAUCUGAAAGGAAGCAACCAGCAAAAACGUGAGAACUUUAGGACACAUUUCUCAACAAAAUUGCAAAGCUCUUUGUUAUGAAUGUUGCUAACUCCAAAACCCUUAAUAGCAGAAGAAAUGAUAUCUAGAAGUACAACUCUUAAUAUGAUAAAACAUGGAAGGAAGAUCUUUACAUAUCCCCAUCGUUUACUUAUCUCAAGAUUUAUCGUGAAAGGACAUGAAUGGGACAAUUAUGUUCGUAUGAAUCACAUACUAAAUACAAAGACAAUUGACCUCUCAUCUCUAGUCAUUUUCAAGUUUACAGUCAAUAGAAGAACCCACCAAAUGGUUUCUUGCAUGUAGUGUAGAGUGAUACUUGCAGAGUGAAUAGUAUUUCCACAUUUCCUAGAAGUAACAGGGGUCAUGAUUGUCUGCUAAAGUCAUUAUUGAAACCAUAUUUCUAGUGGUUUCUUCAGUGAUACUUAAGAUGCUCUUCGAUUCUGUUUUGUUAUUUUUUCAUAUUUCUAGUUUAACUUGGAUUUUAUGUUGUUUUUUUUUUUUUAUCCUAUUUGAUUUAAGAUUCUGAUUUUUUAACUUUGUAAAAGUCUAUUAUUAAUCUAUUUAAGGAGUUGUAAGCUUCUCGAAGAAACAAAUAUAUUAGAAAAAAAUAAUAUUAAGUAAUAAAACUCGAAUAAUUAAAGACUCUAAUUGUUUGAGACCCUUUUCAGCGAAAUUAUAUCUUUCUUUCUUCUUCCUUUCUUCCUGUCAAAAGUCGAGUUUCUUCUAAAAACUAACCAUCUAAUGCAAGCAACAAUAAUUUUGAUAUUAAUUAAAUAGGGCAGGAGCUCUGAUUCUCAUACGUAUAUUAAUUAAAGUUCACUAAUCUCAAAUAAUUUUCUUCUUAAUUAAGAAAAUAGAAACCGUAAAAGAAGGGAAAGAAAUAGCUGUUCGCUAGUCAUUUAAAUUGACAGAAAUAAAUUUUGGUCGGUCAAGAGAUAAGAGACGAACAAAACUCCACCAGGGAAAGAAUGCUUGCAUCAGUCCCUUGCUGAUUUGCUUGACCAAUCAGCACUUUAACCUGAUUUGUGAGAGGAGUAUAUCCAAGAUCGACGGAGAACGUGUUGCAAAUAUGUUUAUGGACUAUACAGAUAAGGCCAGACUGCAAAAGAAGUUCGUGAAGAAUCAUAAAUAUGAAUGGGGUUUAUUCUAAAUUAUAGCAUUGAAUUGCACUCAAAUUUUACCGAAAGAUUCUACAGUCCCAGCUGUUCCUCAUAGGACUAUAUGAAUCUUCUCAAAUCAGGUCUACUGAACGAAUUGUUGUGUUAUUUUUUUUUGGUUAGAUUAUUAUUACAAGCUUAUAUCUAUUUCUCUACAAUUUGAAGUCUGCAACCUUAGAGUUUGAAAACCUUAAUUUUUAUCUAUGCUAUAUGAUUUGUCAAAGAUUUUAUCAACCUCAACCGUAAUGCAACAAUAAUAUUGGGAAAAAAGUAUUAAAAAUGCCAAUUUGAUUAUUACUUUAUGACUUGCUGCUGCCAUUGUUAUUAACAAGCAGUUGGUUGCUACAGAGACAAAAACUUGUCUAUCUGACAAGAGUAGAAAAUGAAUCAUGAAGAUAUCAGAAUUUCUUCCAAACGAAUCAUUCCUUGUAAUUGCAAACACAUGGGUCCCCUCCUCUCCAUGAAUGCUUACAACAAAUCAUUCUCUUAGACUUGACAGCGCCUGACCUAAUCUUGAUCCGUGGGGAAGACGGCACUGCAGUUUCUCAGAUAAUGCCAACAAUAAGGACAGUACACAAGAAAGGUAAACCCAAGAAACCAGAGAUUUAACUGCACUCCUCAUUAACAGUAUCAUAAAAGGCAAAAAGGUCGUGAAGAAAAUGAAAAUAGCGAGCUCAGUAUGCUACAAAGUGCAAACAACACAAGAAAAUGGCAACUCGUACUCUCAGGUAAGAAGUAUCACUGAAACAUUUGCCAAGCCAAGCUCAUACCAAGGAUUCUGAGCUCACUCAUAUAUAGUGGCUCUACCUUUGAAACUGGGAAGUCCCCUCUGUAAUCAAAGGCAUCCCUUGCUUGCAUCGUCAUAGUUGUUUGCUAGUCAUUUAAAUUGACAGUAAUAAAUUUUUGUCAGUCAAGAGAUUAGAGCCAAAGAAAACUCAACAAAAUAUUUGAACUCACUCGUGGAAAGAAUGCUUGCAUCAGUCCCGCGGUGAUUUGCUUGACCAAUCAGAAUUUUUACCUGAUUUGUUAGUCAGAGGAAUAUAUAUAUCCUAGAUUGAUGGGAGUAACUGGUUGCAAAUAUGUUUAUAGAACAAAUAGAUAAGGUUAGAUAUAAAUACAUAUCACCUCACAAUACGGAUAGAAAAAAUAUAUAUGUGAUUUUGUUUGUUUUCGUAGAUUUUCUGGUAGUAAAAUUAUGCAUUAGUUAAAGGAUCCAUGAACCUUGUCAUAAUCCAAUUUUUUACUUAUUUAUUUAAUUUUUUUUGUGUUAUUUAUUUAUUUAUUGAUUUUUACAAUAUUUCCUAAAAAAAUAAAAAAAUUAUUGAUGAAAAACAAAUAAAAAGUUAAAUAAAUGAAGAGUGAAUUAAAAUGUAGGUUAAGGCAACAUGAUUGGAAGUUUAGAGAGAUUAAUUAAACUCUUGACUACUUUAAUUAAUAAAUCAAGGGCUUAAUUGAAGAAUUGAGAGACUUAAUUAAGUUGAGAAUUAAUUAAAUUAAUCAAAUCAAGGGCUUAAUUGGAGAAUUGAUAAGUUUUGAGACUUAAUGGAGCUUAGGAUUAAUUUAAUUAAUGAAAUCAAAGGCUUAAUUGAAGAAAUAUCAAAGUUUGGGGUUAAUUGGGGUCAAAAGUGCAACAUAUUAAAGUCCAAGGACUAGCUUGUAAAAGGCACCGAAAUGCAAGUAUCCAAUUACAUUUUAACCAGGGGCUUGAUUGCAACAUUACAAGAAUUCCAAGGACCACAUUUAAAGCAGCCUUUGGAAUUGGAAAACGAAGUCGUUUUGGCAAGCGACUGUUCGUCGUCUUCUUCCUCGGUAACGGCUCCGGCAUUAAAGGCAGAGACGUUUCUCCAUUGAAUGCAGCACCCCACGGCCAUUACUGCCGGCCGUUACCAGCGCCGAUCGAUCUCUGACUCUAUAAAAAGCCGGGUAAAGGCAACCUCGCGAGAGGGGGGAAGACUGAGAGAGAGGAGGCAGAACAGAAACGAAAGGGGAGGAGAAACAGAACCAGGGCAAAGUUUUGGUCCAUUCAACCAGCAGCACCUCGUGCUUUUACCACAACCGUCUUCUUCCUGAACGGAGAAGACUGGACAGAGCAACAGAAGAGGGAGAACAGAGGGGGAAGGAAGAGGACCGAACGGACAGAACAGGCGAGAGCUAGAGAGAGACGGACAUGGACAGAGGAAGCCAGUAAAGGGAAGGAAUUAAAGACAGAGGAACACAAAAAAAAAAACAGCAAAAAGUAAAGGAAAACGAGAAUCAGAGACAUAGUAAAGCAGAGGAGAGGAGAACAGCCGACCACCACGCUUCAGUUAUCAUCUCCGUUCCUGCGUUGAGGUAAGCCCCGCUUCUUUUGCAUUUUAAUUCACUGCUACAGUAGGAAUUACAAUUCACUGCUACAGUACAGCGAAUUAUAAUUCGCUUGCUACUGUAGCAAGUCCAGCCGGGUCACUGGUCACCAGUGACCCGGCCGAGUCAGCUGGAUCAAGUUCAGCUCACAAGUGACCCGGUCGAGUCAGCUGGGUCAAGUUCAGCUCACAUGGGCUGAGCUGAACCAGCCCAAAAAAUAUAAAAAUAUAAAUAAAAAAGAUAAAUAAAAAAAAAAAAAAAUAGAAAUAGAAAUUGUGCAUGCAUUAGAAAUAAGAAAAUAAAAUGUGUUUUUAUUCACUAAUGCCAGAAUAAAAAAAAAAUUUAUUAUUUUUUUUAGCUAAGAAUUAUACUUAACAACACAAAAGUUGAGAUUAUUCAUAGUAGAAUAUUUACCAACGCUAGAGUUGAAAUUAUUCGUAUUAGAAUUUUUACCAAAGCCAAACUUUGAAUUAUUUCAUAAUGAAAUAUUUACCAACACCAGAAUUGAAAAUAUAUGUAAUUAAAUAUUCACUGAUGCUAGAAUCAUGAAUAUUACUGGUGAACCGUCAUAACACAAAUCAACAAAAAAUUUAGCAAUUUAAAACAAGACUAGCAAUGCAGCUUACCUUAGGUAGAGUGCGCUAGGGGUGCUAAUACCUUCUCUAGUCACGACCCGAAUCCCGGAUCCAUGACCGACACAUAGGCAAGGUUCCCCUCCAAGGUUCCAUAUCUAUGCGAACCCAAACUUACACACAAACUUAUCCUAACUUAAUCAGAGUUCAACACAGCAUUAAUAACAAAAUCAACUUCAUAAUAUAAUUGAAUUGUCUUAAUACAAGAGUUAAUAUAAUUCAUAGUUUUGGAGCACUAAUUUGACAUAAAAGGAAGGUACAAAUUACAACCAAAAAGCAGGUUCGGAAGGUUCAACAAAAGUAACAUGCUAUCAAGCUAUAAGCCUGAAAAGAAUAAUAAUGAGAGGGUGAGUUCAACAACUCAGUGAGUAGAUAACGUUCAAUAUACACACACGAGGUAAUAAAACAAUGAGAAAUAUAUAUACAAGUAUGACUUUAGGUUCUUAUGGAAAUGUUUUUCAAAUUGGCCAUAACAAGAAUGUCAUAUGGUAAAACUCGUCAGAAAAUCAAAAUGCAAUGAGCAUGAAGUAUGACUUUAGGUUCUUAUGGAAAUGUUUCUCAAAUUGGCCAUAACAAGAAUGUCAUAUGGUAAAACUCGUCAAAAAAUCAACAUGCAAUGAGCAUGAGGCUCCGUACUGUGGGAUGAUCAGUCCACACAGGUUGGUGACUCCCCCAACCAACUAGGGUUCAGAUACGAUGUGCACAAAGACUAACACUACCUUGUUAGCAUGGGUAUUCUGACUGACAUACCAUAGGUUCAUAAUCAUAAUCAUAAUCAAACAGACAUAUUCAUAUCUUAAGGCUCAACUCAUGACAUCAAUCAAAUGAGGAGCUAUCAAUUCAGAAGUCAAUUCAAAAUAUAUACUGGUUCAUAUCAAGAAUUCAGAUUCAACAAUUGAUCAUGCUUUAUCAUAACAAGGAUAAUAAUCAACAUAUAUAUUAUCAAGAAGCAUGAUCCAAUUCAUAUUAACAAAUCAAAUAUUUAUAAUAUUUCUCAUGCAUAUGGAAAAUUAUCCACUCACUUGACUCGAAAGCAACAAAACUCAAAGCUGAUAUCGAAGGAAAUCCUACUGACGUCCCGCCGGUAAAAUAUCAGGAUUAUCUGAAUACAAAUGAGACAUAUUCAAGAAUGACUCAAAAAAACAUAUAACCUAUUUAAUACACUUAUCUAAAGGUGUAUUCCAUAACUGUCACGACCCGAAUCCCGGAUUCAUGACCGGCACAUAGGCAAGGUUCCCCUCCAAGGUUCCAUACCUAUGCGAACCCAAACUUACACACAAACUUAUCCUAACUCAAUCAGAGUUCAACGCAACAUUAAUAACAAAAUCAACUUCAUAAUAAUUGAAUUGUCUUAAUACAAGAGUUUAUAUAAGUUCAGAGUUUUGGAGCACUAACUAAACAUAAAGGAGAGAUACAAAGUACAACCAAAGAGCAGAUUCUGAAGGUCCAACAAAAUGACCUGCUAUCAAGCUAUAAGCCUGAAAAGGAUAAAUAAUGAGAUGGUGAGUUCAACAACUCAGUGAGUAGAUAACGUUCAAUAUACACACACGAGGUAAUACAGCAAUGAGAAAUAUAUAUACAAGUAUGGCUCUAGGUUCUUAUAGAAAGGUUUCUCAAAUAGGCCAUAACAAGAAUAUCAUAUGGUAAAACUCGUCAGAAAAUCAAAAUGCAAUGAGCAUGAGGCUCCGUACUGUGGGAUGAUCAGUCCACACAGGUUGGUGACUCCCCCGACCAACUAGGGUUCAGAUACGAUGUGCACAAAGACUAACACUACCCUGUUAGCAUGGGUAUUCUGACUGACAUACCAUAGGUUCAUAAUCAUAAUCAAACAGACAUAUUCAUAUCUCAAGGCUCAACUCAUGACAUCAAUCAAAUGAGGAGCUAUCAAUUCAGAAUUCAAUUCAAAAUAUAUACUGGUUCAUAUCAAGAAUUCGGAUUCAACAAUUGAUCAUGCUUUAUCAAAACAAGGAUAAUAAUCAACAUAUAUAUUAUCAAGAAGCAUGAUUCAAUUCAUAUUAACAAAUCAAAUAUUUAUACUAUUUCUCAUGAAUAUGGAAAAUUAUCCACUCACCUGACUCAAAAGCAAACAGAAGCCAAAAGCAGACACCGAAGAAAAUCCUACUGACGUCCUGUCGGUAGAAUAUCAGGAUUAUCUGAAUACAAAGGAGACAUAUUCAAGAACGACUCAAAAGAACAUUUAACCUAUUUAAUAAACUUAACUAAUGAUGUAUUCCGUAACCCUAUAUGUUUUUGAACUAACUAGUCAAUUUUCUCAAAAACCCAAAAUUUAACGGUUUUCCCGAAAUCUAAUCCAUAAAUAAACAACUAAUAAAAUUGGCAAUAAUUCACUAAAUAACCCUUAAUUAUUCAUCAAACUAAUCUGAAAAGGCUAAUAUUACAGCUAGGGACCAAUCUGUAAUUUAUCAUAUUUUUAGGGCCAAAUUGUAAUUUUUGUCUAAUUGGAGGACCAAACUGAAAUUUAUCAUAAAUCCAUGAAUAUACUGAAAUUCUGACCAUAAUUAGUCCUCAUUUCUGUCCAGAUCAUCUCAUUAUACUCCAAGGACCAUUCUGGAAUUUUACCAAAUUGUUUAGGGUCAAAUUGUAAUUUUGUCAAAUUGGAGGACUAAAUUGAAAGUGUUAAAUUCUCUUAUCUAUACAGUAAUUCUGUCCAUAAUUCAUAUGUUAUUCUGUUCAGAAUCUCGGAAUAGGCUCCAGGGACCAAUCUGCAAAUUUUCCAAAGUUUGGGGACUAAACUGUAAUUUUCCAAAAUUGAGGGACCAAACCGAAAUUUUGUCAUCUUCAACCUCCAACCCAGAAUUCCAACAGAAAACCCACUGUUCUUUCCUUAUUUCUAACACAAAUUCACCAUUCAAACAAAAUCAUAACUCAAAAUCAUCAUCUUUCAAUUCAAUCUCUCAAAAUCAUCCAAAUAAUCAAAUACCCACAACAAUUAACUCUAUAAUAUUCAAAUUAAAUCAUCAAUCAAACCCAAAACACAAAUUUCAUAACCCUAACAUUUAUCAAAAUCGAAAUUAAAGCUUAAUAAUACAAAUUUAUACAUUUAACAACCUAAAUCUUACCUUUAAACUUAUUCCCUUCAAUUCUUUUCUAUUUUCCCCUCUUUUCUCUUCUUCUUCUUUCUCCCUUCUCUCCUGCCGAUUCUCUCUCAAAUAUUCAGAUCUCUUCUUCUUUUUUUUUUUUCUUUCUAUUUAUAUAUAUCAUCUCUUAUACAAUUACUACAAUACCCCUCAUUUAAUUUAUUCCUACAUCUAAGCAUUCAAGGACUUUAUUGUAUUUUCCUACUCAUUUAUUCAAAACAUCACAAUAACCCUAUAUGUUUUUGAACUAACUAGUCAAUUUUCUCAAAAACCCAAAAUUUAACGGUUUUCCCGAAAUCUAAUCCAUAAUAAAACAACUAAUAAAAUUGAUAAUAAUUCACUAAAUAACCCUUAAUUAUUCAUCAAACCAAUCUGCAAAAGCUAAUAUUACAGCUAGGGACUAAUUUGUAAUUUAUCAUAUUUUUAAGCGUCAAAUUGCAACUUUUGUCAACUUGAAGGACCAAACUGAAAUUGUCAUAAAUCCAUCACUAUACUGAAUUUCUGACCAUAAUUAGUCCUCAUUUCUGUCCAGAUCAUCUCAUUAUACUCCAAGGACCAUUCUGGAAUUUUACCAAAUUUUUAGGGUCAAAUUGUAAUUUUGUCAAAUUGGAGGACUAAAUUGAAAGUGUUAAAAUUUCAUAACUAUACUAGAAUUCUGCCCUUAAUUCAUAUAUUAUUCUGUUCAGAAUCUCGGAAUAGGCUCCAGGGACUAAUCUGUAAAUUUUUCAAACUUUGGGGACUAAACUGUAAUUUCCACAAAUUGAGGGACCAAAUUGAAUUUUCUUCAUCUUCAACCUCCAACCCAGAAUUUCAACAGAAAACCCACUGUUCUCUCCAAAUUUCUAACACAAAUUCACCAUUCAAACAAAAAUCAUAACUCAAAAUCAUCAUCUUUCAAUUCAAUCUCUCAAAAUCAACCAAAUAAUCAAAUACCCACAACAAUUAACCCCAUAACAUUCAAUUUAAUUCAUCAAUUAACCCAAAACACAAAUUUUCAAAACCCUAACAUUCAUCAAAACUGAAAUAAAAGCUUAAUUAACACAUAUUUAUACAUAAUCUUACCUUUAAACUUAUUUCUUCAACUCCUUUCUAUUUCCCUUCUAAUUUCUCUCUUUUCUCUUCUUCUUCUUCUUUCUCCCUUCUCUCUCCUGCCGAUUCUCUCUCAAAUUUUCAGAUCCCUCUUUUGUUUUUUUUUUCUUCUAUUUAUAUUUAUUAUGUUUAUCUAAUUACCACACUACCCCUCAUUCAUUUAUACCCACACUUUAAGCCUUCAUUUAUACCCACACUUUAAGCCUUCAAAGGCUUUAUUGUAUUUUCCAAUUCAUUAAUUCAAAACGUUACACAAUCAGUCUAGUACCAUAGAAUCUCUGUUGACCAGUUAGGGUUUCUAGUGACCCAUAGUACUAGGUGGCGACUCCUUAAACAAGACAUUUUUCCAUAAAAAAACAAGAUACAGAUAUCUACUUUUUUUCUAUCAAGAUAAUAAAAUUUUAAGGUCGCCGCGAUAUGUGAGCAUAAAGAAAAAUAUUAAAUACCUUCUGUUUAUAUAUAUAUAUAUAUAUAUAUAUAUAUAUAUAUAUAUAUAUAUAUAUAUGCAAAAUCAUAAUGCAUAAUGCAAAACCAAAUGCAUAAUGCAUGUCAGACGGUAAAUAUGCAAAAUCAUUUCAAAAUAAAUUAAAAAAAUUCGACUAUUUUUUGCGAGAACAACUUUGCUUAUUACAGAAAACAUGAAUAUCAUGAUAAUUUUGUAUUUAAAGAUGGAAUUGGGCUUUUCAAUGACUAUGUUGUUCUGUAUAAUAGAAAACUUUUAAUGCAGUACAAUGCACAUAUAAAUAUUGAGAUAUGCUGUCAAUCACUGUUGAUCAAAUAUCUAUUCAAAUAUGCCAGCAAGGAGCUUGACAGAAUGAAACUAAUGAUGAAAUACAUGCAUAUCGUAAUUGUCGAUUUAUCUGCUCCUCUGAAGAUGUUUGAUGUCUUUUCCAAUUUCCAAUUUAUUCAAGAACCCCUACAAUUGAAAGGCUUCAAGGUCAUAUAUUUGCCUUCUCAGCAAAAUGUUAUCUUCUCAAGCAACAACUCUUUUUGUCCUGUUCUUAAAAGGUCAGGUAUCAAUAAAACAAUGCUUACUGAAUGGUUUGACUGCAACGAAAAUUAUGCUCAUGCACGAGAGCUUUACUAAUCACAAUUUCCAAGCAAACAUGUAUGGGAUGGCAGGUUGAAAGAGUGGGUUGUCAUAUCAAGGAGGUUUAGCCUUGGACGUAUAACAUAUGUGCAUCCUGCUGCUGGGGAACUUUAUUUUUUAAGAAUACUUCUAAACCAUGUGAAAGGGCCUACAGGGCUUGAUGAUUUUAAAAACGUUGGCGGCAUUGUUUGUCCAACAUUUCAGCUUGUUUGCAAGACAUUGGGUCUUUUAGAUGACGACAAAGAAUGGUCCAAAGCUUAGUGAUCUCAUUCGACGUCAGUGUUUCUCAGAGGCUUCCAUUCUUUGACAACACUCUAGACAUAGUUCAUUCGAUGCAUGUUCUGAGCAACUGGAUUCCAGAUGCGAUGUUGGAAUUCACACUCUAUGAUAUAUAUACAGAGUGUUGAGGCCAGGGGGACUCUUCUGGCUUGAUCGCUUCUUCUGCCUGGGAUCACAGCUGAAUCAAACAUACGUUCCAAUGUUGGAUCGUGUUGGAUUCAGGAACCUAAGGUGGAACGCUGGCAUGAAGCUUGAACGAGGGAUUGACAAAAACGAGUGGUAUUUCUCUGCCCUGUUGGAGAAACCAAUGACCUGAGCAACAAUUUUUAACACCAUCAAAUCAAUGCAAUGCAAUGCACAUGCAUGUAGUUUAGGAAGUAUUUAGUUUACAAAUUUUAUUUUUUUAUUCCAUUUAUACCUAUGAUUAGUAUAAAUAAGGUUGUCUAAAUGAAAUAUUUUAGAUGUUUCCCCAUAGCUAUGAUAUUCAUGGUUUUUAAGGGUUUCGACUUUGUAAUAAAUUCUGUUAUUCAGCGUCGUGAUUGUUAAAUAAUAUUUAUGUAGUCUUAUUUAUUAAGGGUAGAAUAGUACUUUCAGUUUGACCUAUAUAUACUUUAUUUGUAUUUAGGUUAACACUAUGCAUUCAUAAUAAACAGAUUAUUCAGAAUUGUAGCCUCCUUUUUGUAGUUGAUCUCAAUUACUUUAACAUGGUAUCAGAGCUAGUUUUAUGGAACGAAGCUUAAUCCCGAACACAGCUUCGCGGAUCCAACUUUUUUGGAGUGAGAUUUUGUCUUCCGCUUCUGCAAAAUUUGGUAUUUCGUCAGUUUCUGCAAUUAUUUUGGUAUUUCGUCAGUUUCGUCUUCCCUUCAGCUUUUACAAUUUGGUAAUUCCGUUCAGUUUCUGCAAAUUUGUUUUGUGUUUUGGAGUAAUCGUAUAAGUUUGAGAAGAUAUUUGUUUAGUUUCUGCAAUCUCUGUUCAGUUUCUGCAAUUUGGUAUUUUGUUUUCCGCUGCUUUUGCAUUCUGGUUCUUUGUGAUUGUUGAUUAUGGCUACUGAAAGAGAUGAUUCGCUUCAGUCUGUGAGUGUGAGGUUGGAUGGGAAGAACUAUUCGUAUUGGAGCUAUGUAAUGAGAAAUUUUCUUAAGGGUAAGAAGAUGUGGGGAUAUGUUAGUGGAACUUAUGUGCUACCUAAGAAUACUGAAGAAGGAGAUAUUGUCUCGAUAGAUACAUGGGAAGCAAACAAUGCAAAGAUCAUUACUUGGAUCAACAAUUCUGUUGAGCAUUCUAUAGGUACACAGUUGGCAAAGUAUGAGACAGCAAAGGAGGUUUGGGAUCAUCUGCAACGGUUAUUCACGCAAUCAAAUUUUGCAAAACAGUAUCAGUUAGAGAAUGACAUACGAGCUCUUCACCAGAAGAAUAUGAGUAUUCAGGAGUUCUAUUCUGCCAUGACAGAUCUUUGGGAUCAAUUGGCUCUUACAGAAUCGGCAGAAUUAAAAGCAUGUGGUGCUUAUAUUGAAUGUAGAGAGCAGCAACGAUUGGUACAAUUUUUAACAGCACUUCGCAGUGAUUUCGAAGGACUUAGAGGUUCAAUUCUGCAUCGUUCUCCACUGCCCUCUGUUGACUCUGUUGUCAGUGAGUUAUUGGCUGAAGAAAUACGUCUUCAGUCUUAUUCUGAAAAGGGAAUUCUUUCUGCUUCGAAUCCUUCUGUACUAGCAGUACCUUCUAAGCCAUUCUCUAAUAAUCAGAACAAGCCUUACACAAGGGUUGGCUUCGAUGAGUGCAGUUUCUGUAAGCAGAAAGGUCAUUGGAAGGCUCAAUGUCCUAAGUUGAGACAGCAGAAUCAAGCUUGGAAGUCUGGCAGUCAGUCACAAUCUAAUGCUCAUCGAUCACCUCAGGGUUAUAAACCACCACACCACAAUACUGCAGCAGUAGCUUCCCCAGGCUCUAUUACCGAUCCUAAUACUUUAGCUGAGCAAUUUCAGAAGUUUCUCUCCUUGCAGCCACAAGCAAUGUCCGCUUCUUCCAUAGGUCAGUUGCCUCAUAAUUCCUCAGGUAUGUCACACUCUGAAUGGGUCUUGGAUUCUGGUGCUUCACAUCAUAUGUCUCCAGAUUCCUCAUCUUUUACCUCAGUGUCCCCUUUGUCCUCCAUUCCUGUUAUGACUGCUGAUGGCACUCCUAUGCCCUUAGCAGGUGUUGGUUCUGUUGUCACACCUCACUUGUCUCUCCCUAAUGUUUAUCUUAUUCCAAAACUCAAAUUGAAUCUUGCGUCUGUUGGUCAAAUAUGUGAUUCUGGUGAUUAUUUAGUCAUGUUUUCUGGUUCUUUUUGUUGUGUACAGGAUCUGCAGUCUCAGAAGCUGAUUGGGACAGGCCGUAGGGAGAAUGGGCUAUAUAUUUUGGAUGAGUUAAAAGUGCCAGUUGCUGCUGCUGCUGCCGCUGCUACUACUGCUGAUUUGUCUUCCUUUCGUUUGAGUCUUUCAUCUUCUAGUUUUUAUUUAUGGCAUUCCCGUCUAGGUCAUGUUUCGUCUUCUCGUUUGAGAUUUUUGGCAUCCACAGGAGCUUUAGGAAAUUUGAAAACUUGUGACAUUUCUGAUUGUAGUGGAUGUAAACUGGCAAAAUUUUCUGCUUUACCUUUUAAUCGAAGUAUUUCUGUUUCAUCUUCACCAUUUGAUUUGAUUCAUUCUGAUGUAUGGGGACCUUCUCCUGUUUCCACAAAAGGAGGGUCUCGAUAUUAUGUCUCUUUUAUUGAUGAUCAUACUCGUUAUUGUUGGGUUUAUUUAAUGAAACAUCGUUCUGAAUUCUUUGAGAUAUAUGCAGCUUUUCGAGCUCUUAUCAAAACUCAACAUUCUGCUGUGAUCAAAUGCUUUAGGUGUGAUUUGGGUGGGGAAUACACCUCUAAUAAAUUUUGUCAAAUGCUUGCCUUAGAUGGAACCAUCCACCAAACUUCAUGUACAGAUACUCCUGAACAAAAUGGUGUAGCUGAAAGAAAACAUAGGCAUAUUGUCGAAACUGCUCGUUCUCUCUUGUUGUCUGCUUUUGUUCCUAGUGAAUUUUGGGGAGAAGCUGUUCUUACUGCUGUAAGUUUGAUUAAUACAAUUCCAUCUUCUCAUAGUUCGGGUCUAUCUCCUUUUGAAAAGCUAUAUGGGCAUGUCCCUGAUUAUUCCUCAUUUAGAGUCUUUGGUUGUACUUGUUUCGUUCUUCGUCCUCAUGUAGAACGCAAUAAGCUAUCCUCUCGAUCCGCUAUUUGUGUCUUUCUGGGUUAUGGUGAAGGUAAAAAGGGGUAUCGUUGUUUUGAUCCAAUAACUCAGAAACUUUAUGUGUCUCGUCAUGUUGUCUUCCUUGAGCAUAUACCUUUCUUUUCUAUUCCAUCCACUACUCAUAGCCUGACAAAAUCUGAUCUUAUUCAUAUAGAUCCUUUUUCUGAAGAUUCUGGUAAUGAUACCUCUCCCUAUGUUCGAUCAAUUUGUACUCAUAACUCUGCAGGUACUGGUACUUUACUCUCUGGCACACCUGAAGCUCCAUUCUCAUCUACAGCCCCUCAAGCUUCAUCUGAGAUUGUGGAUCCACCUCCACGUCAGUCCAUCCGCAUUCGUAAGUCCACAAAACUACCAGAUUUUGCUUAUUCUUGUUAUUCUUCAUCAUUUACUUCCUUUUUAGCUUCUAUUCAUUGUCUCUUUGAGCCCUCUUCCUAUAAAGAGGCAAUUCUUGAUCCGCUUUGGCAGCAAGCUAUGGAUGAGGAACUUUCUGCUUUGCAUAAGACAGAUACUUGGGAUCUGGUUCCUCUACCUCCUGGUAAGAGUGUUGUUGGUUGUCGUUGGGUGUAUAAGAUCAAGACUAAUUCUGAUGGGUCUAUUGAGCGAUACAAAGCUAGGCUGGUUGCAAAAGGAUACUCUCAACAGUAUGGUAUGGACUAUGAGGAGACAUUUGCCCCGGUUGCCAAAAUGACUACUAUUCGUACUCUUAUUGCCGUAGCUUCGAUUCGUCAGUGGCAUAUUUCUCAGCUUGAUGUUAAAAAUGCAUUCUUGAAUGGAGAUCUUCAAGAAGAAGUUUAUAUGGCACCCCCUCCUGGUAUUUCACAUGACUCUGGAUAUGUUUGUAAGCUUAAGAAAGCAUUAUAUGGUCUCAAACAAGCACCUCGUGCUUGGUUUGAGAAAUUCUCUAUUGUGAUCUCGUCUCUUGGCUUUGUUUCUAGCAGUCAUGAUUCUGCUCUUUUUAUUAAGUGCACUGAUGCAGGUCGUAUCAUUCUGUCUUUAUAUGUUGAUGACAUGAUUAUUACUGGUGAUGAUAUUGAUGGUAUUUCAGUUUUGAAGACAGAGUUGGCUAGACGAUUUGAAAUGAAGGAUUUGGGUUAUCUUCGAUAUUUCCUGGGUAUUGAGGUAGCAUACUCACCUAGAGGUUACCUUCUUUCUCAGUCGAAAUAUGUUGCAGAUAUUCUUGAGCGGGCUAGACUUACUGAUAACAAGACUGUAGAUACUCCUAUUGAGGUCAACGCGAGGUACUCUUCUUCUGAUGGUUUACCUUUGAUAGAUCCUACUUUAUACCGUACUAUUGUUGGGAGUUUGGUAUAUCUCACCAUUACUCGUCCAGAUAUUGCAUAUGCUGUUCAUGUUGUUAGUCAGUUUGUUGCUUCUCCUACUACUGUUCACUGGGCAGCUGUUCUUCGUAUUUUGCGAUAUCUUCGGGGUACAGUUUUUCAGAGUCUGUUACUUUCAUCCACCUCUUCCUUGGAGUUGCGUGCAUACUCUGAUGCUGAUCAUGGUAGUGAUCCCACAGAUCGCAAGUCUGUUACCGGGUUCUGUAUCUUUUUAGGUGAUUCUCUUAUUUCUUGGAAGAGCAAGAAACAAUCUAUUGUUUCUCAAUCAUCCACCGAAGCAGAAUAUCGUGCCAUGGCAUCUACUACCAAAGAGAUUGUUUGGCUACGUUGGUUACUUGCUGAUAUGGGAAUUUCCUUUUCUCAUCCUACUCCUAUGUAUUGUGACAAUCAGAGUUCUAUUCAGAUUGCUCAUAACUCGGUUUUUCAUGAGCGCACUAAGCACAUUGAGAUCGAUUGUCAUCUUACUCGUCAUCAUCUCAAACAUGGCACCAUUGCUUUGCCUUUUGUUCCUUCUUCCUUACAGAUUGCAGAUUUCUUUACCAAGGCGCAUUCCAUCUCUCGUUUUCGUUUUCUGGUUGGCAAACUCUCGAUGCUUGUAGCUGCCGCAUCGUGAGUUUGAGGGGAGAUGUUAAAUAAUAUUUAUGUAGUCUUAUUUAUUAAGGGUAGAAUAGUACUUUCAGUUUGACCUAUAUAUACUUUAUUUGUAUUUAGGUUAACACUAUGCAUUCAUAAUAAACAGAUUAUUCAGAAUUGUAGCCUCCUUUUUGUAGUUGAUCUCAAUUACUUUAACAGUGAUAAUAAUAAUUAUAAUAUUCACAACUUAAAAGAUUGGAUACAGGACACAGAAAAUGCUCAUCAUUUUACUCUCCUUUGAUUCAAGUGAGAGGUCGAAUCAAGAGAAAUAGAUCAAUAAGUUCAACUGGCAUAAGUUUAAUUUCUAACAUAAUUAAUGCAAGAGCACACAGGAUUUCUUUCACCCAACAUACAAAGGUUUUGCUAAAUAUAUAUUCACAAGUAGUUGACUCUUACAAAUCUGAUGCACCUCACGCGGCAAACAUCGCAAGAAAAUAUUGUAAAACCCAGUACCGAAGCAACUUCUCAUCUUUCCCAGCUAAACAAUGCUCAUCAUGGUUCUAGACUCAAGAUAAUGAAAGCUCUUCUUCCUUCAAGGAUGGUGGAAACUCGUCCUGGCUUGCUUCCUCAAAACUAGCUGAAGUGGAUUCUGCUUCAGCAUUGGGGUUUGAACCAGCAAGAUGCAAGAUAUUCUCAAUCUCUUUCACCACUUCACCCAUUGUUGGCCUGUCACUUCCUUUCUCUUGUACACAUUUCAUUGCCAGAUCCAGUAUCUUAUCUAGACCUUUCGGCUUCGUGUCUAAACCAAUGCUUGGGUCAAGAAGUUCAUGAAGGUUAUAUAGAUCUUUUUUUCUAUCCAAUGAGCUACUUACCUCCGCUACAAGGUAUUUCCCUCGCUCUAAAGGCUUUCUUCCACUUACUAGUUCCAGCAACACAACUCCAAAGCCAUAGACAUCACUCUUCUCAGUCAAGAGCAGGGUCUUCUGAUAUUCUGGAUCUAUAUAACCCUAAGCAGAAAAUAUAGUAAUCUUGUCAAUUGUAACCCUUGAUAUAUAAUGGCUUUAAUCAUAGACCAGCCGGCGACCUGCAUUUAAUGAAACUAGAUAGUCUUAAAUUAAUGAUGUUUUGGAGGUACUGACCAUUGUCCCUUUAACUUGAGUGCUAGCAAGAAUAAGCUCACUAUUGUCCAUAGGCUUGGAAAGACCAAAAUCACCAACUUUAGCAUUUAAGCAUUCAUCCAGUAAUAUGUUAGCUGAUUUUACGUCCCUGUGGAUAAUACGA
rnacentral:lncRNA from 1 species